AACGAACGCUGGCGGCAUGCCUAACACAUGCAAGUCGAACGAGACCUUCGGGUCUAGUGGCGCACGGGUGCGUAACGCGUGGGAACCUGCCCUUAGGUUCGGAAUAACUCCCCGAAAGGGGUGCUAAUACCGGAUAAUGUCUUCGGACCAAAGAUUUAUCGCCUCUGGAUGGGCCCGCGUUGGAUUAGCUAGUUGGUAGGGUAAAAGCCUACCAAGGCGACGAUCCAUAGCUGGUCUGAGAGGAUGAUCAGCCACACUGGGGCUGAGACACGGCCCAGACUCCUACGGGAGGCAGCAGUGGGGAAUAUUGGACAAUGGGCGAAAGCCUGAUCCAGCAAUGCCGCGUGAGUGAUGAAGGCCUUAGGGUUGUAAAGCUCUUUUACCCGGGAUGAUAAUGACAGUACCGGGAGAAUAAGCUCCGGCUAACUCCGUG
rnacentral:rRNA from 1 species